rnacentral:rRNA from 1 species
UACGGGGGGGGCAAGCGUUGUUCGGAAUUACUGGGCGUAAAGGGCGCGUAGGCGGCCUGCUAAGUCGGACGUGAAAUCCCUCGGCUCAACCGGGGAACUGCGUCCGAUACUGGUGGGCUCGAAUCCGGGAGAGGGAUGUGGAAUUCCAGGUGUAGCGGUGAAACGCGUAGAUAUCUGGAGGAACACCGGUGGCGAAGGCGGCAUCCUGGACCAACACUGACGCUGAGUGAGCGAAAGCCAGGGGAGCAAACGGG